UCCUACGGGAGGCAGCAGUGGGGAGUUUUGGACAAUGGGGGCAACCCUGAUCCAGCAAUGCCGCGUGAGUGAAGAAGGCCUUCGGGUUGUAAAGCUCUUUUGUCAGGGAAGAAACAGCAGCUCUAACACAGUCUGCGAAUGACGGUACCUGAGGAAUAAGCACCGGCUAACUACGUGCCAGCAGCCGCGGUAAUACGUAGGGUGCGAGCGUUAAUCGGAAUUACUGGGCGUAAAGCGUGCGCAGGCGGUUAUACAAGACAGGCGUGAAAUCCCCGGGCUUAACCUGGGAAUGGCGUCUGUGACUGUAUAGCUAGAGUGUGUCAGAGGGGGGUGGAAUUCCACGUGUAGCAGUGAAAUGCGUAGAUAUGUGGAGGAACACCAAUGGCGAAGGCAGCCCCCUGGGAUAACACUGACGCUCAUGCACGAAAGCGUGGGGAGCAAACAGGAUUAGAUACCCUGGUAGUCCACGCCCUAAACGAUGCUGACUAGUUGUUGGGAAUUUACAUUCUCAGUAACGUAGCUAACGCGUGAAGUCAGCCGCCUGGGGAGUACGGUCGCAAGAUUAAAACUCAAAGGAAUUGACGA
rnacentral:rRNA from 1 species